AUGGUUGAAGUUGAGCAAAAAAUUCAAUUAUGGACAACCUUAAAGAUGUAUUAUGUUGUGGAUGACAAACUUAAGGAUUGGGUCAUGGGAAGUGCUGCCAAGAAAUGGAGGGAUUUCAAAUCAGAGUUGAAGACUUUGUAUUUUGAUGACAAGACCGAUGAGAAACUCCUAGUUGUCCUUGAUAAUAGAGUUAGCCCAACAGAUUGGGAAGAACUCGUUGCCUUUUGGAAAAGUGAAAGAGGGAAGAAGCGUAGCCAGCAAGGGAAACAAAACCGAAAGAAGAUGGAAUUAUUGCAUACAUCAGGCAGUAAAAGUCAUGCUCGUGUUUCUCAUGAAAUGCAUAUGAAGAAUGGAUAUCCCCCUCAUAGACAUGAAGUUUUUAUGGAAACACACAAGUGCAAGAAGACCAUUGCCCCUUCAAGUGUGGCUGCAGCAAAUAUGUUUAAAAAGAUAGAAAAUAUGGAGAAUGAGCGUCCAGAACUUUCGGAAAAAAAC
rnacentral:rRNA from 1 species